UACCUCUCCACCUCUUCCUUAUCCUCUUAUAUCUCCACAUCGCUCCAGUUCCUCUUUCUCUCUGCAGUGAUGAGCGGCCUCCCUUUCUCUCAUGUGCGGCAAUGCAAUAACUCGAUGGUGGUGACAAGCGAAGCGGCACAGCUCGAACGGAUGGUGCCAGAGCAAGCGGGAAAAGGCGCCUCCGUCACCUCCCCUCAGCGGCGCCUCCCCGACGGCUCGAUGGGACAUCGACGGAACGAGUCGCGGCGGCCUUCCAUCCUCUCCUGUGUGGUGGAGGUCAUUUUCAGGGUAACUUAUUGGCUCCGGUUUUGGGCACAACUACAAAGAUGUGAUGAAGAUGAAGAGUUGCUGAAAGUUGCAUGCCAAAAGUUGGAGACUACGGUUAUCUAAUUUUUUACCAAUUAUGGUUGGAGAUUUACAAAUAGACUUCAAUAAUUGUGAUCUCCUUACGUUAGAUGGUUUCUUUGUUUUUCUCUUCAGUGUGUUCUAUUAAUUUAGAUUUACACUAUGUUCAUAAAAACUACUAUGUAAUAAUUGGCUGUAACUCUUUUGAGUAAAUACCGGGAUAUUAUAUUUCAUUAUUAAAAAAAAUAGUGCUUUGUAGCGGAAAAAAA